CGCGUAGGCGGUUUGCUAAGUCCGCUGUGAAAGCCCCGGGCUUAACCUGGGAACUGCAGUGGAUACUGGCAAGCUAGAGUAUGGUAGAGGAGAGUGGAAUUUCCGGUGUAGCAGUGAAAUGCGUAGAGAUCGGAAGGAACACCAGUGGCGAAGGCGGCUCUCUGGACCAAUACUGACGCUGAGGUGCGAAAGCGUGGGGAGCAAACA
rnacentral:rRNA from 1 species